UUGCUACUUCACCAAGCUUCUGU
rnacentral:snRNA from 1 species